rnacentral:rRNA from 1 species
UCGGCAAUGGACGAAAGUCUGACCGAGCAACGCCGCGUGAGUGAAGAAGGUUUUCGGAUCGUAAAGCUCUGUUGUAAGUCAAGAACGUGUGUGAGAGUGGAAAGUUCACACAGUGACGGUAGCUUACCAGAAAGGGACGGCUAACUACGUGCCAGCAGCCGCGGUAAUACGUAGGUCCCGAGCGUUGUCCGGAUUUAUUGGGCGUAAAGGGAGCGCAGGCGGUCAGGGAAGUCUGGAGUAAAAGGCUAUGGCUCAACCAUAGUGUGCUCUGGAAACUGUCUGACUUGAGUGCAGAAGGGGAGAGUGGAAUUCCAUGUGUAGCGGUGAAAUGCGUAGAUAUAUGGAGGAACACCAGUGGCGAAAGCGGCUCUCUGGUCUGUCACUGACGCUGAGGCUCGAAAGCGUGGGUAGCGAACAGGAUUAGAUACCCUGGUAGUCCACGCCGUAAACGAUGAGUGCUAGGUGUUAGGCCCUUUCCGGGGCUUAGUGCCGGAGCUAACGCAAUAAGCACUCCGCCUGGGGAGUACGACCGCAAGGUUGAAACUCAAAGGAAUUGACGGGGGCCCGCACAAGCGGUGGAGCUGUGGUUUAAUUCGAAGCA